ACUGCGGGCUGUGUUACCCAGGGGGGCGGGGGUUUGCCCCGGGGACCGGGGGCAGCAGCGUGUUAAUCUACCCUCAGUGUGGCAACUGUUCUCCCUCCUUUCUCAUGUGGUCGGAGAGCAGCACACUCAGGGCGCAAGGACAAGCCUUCUACCCGGGGGCAUAUGGUGUAUAACCCGUAUUAUAUAGAGAAACGGGAAGCUAUUUUGUAGGUUUGGAAAGCACCCACACAGCGAAACAGUGGAUGGGAUUGUGCAGCGCUGGAGGAUUCUCUUGAGAUCAAUGACUGCAGUCUAAAUGCCCCUUCAGUACAAUCCUGCACUCACAUUCUGGGAAACGAGGCCGGGGGGGUGCGGAAUGAAUCAAGCAACAUCGUAAAGAAGAGCUCUGAGUUUAUGGUCCUGAUGGGGUGAAAGGGUGACCCCCGUGUGUACAGAGCGAGGCACCAUGACCUCACAAACAAAUUCCAUAGCUGGCUUCCGUAAGCCCACAAGACGGCUCAUACCACUAAGGAUCACAUUUGAACUGUCAUCGAAGUAAAGCACCGAUAUGGCAUUCAGCUUGGUCGGAGCGCAGCACGGCUUGGGAACAUUGUCGGGAAACAUCAGAUGAACCUAAAGAAGAGGAAUGAGCUGGGUGUUAGUCUCUAUACAAGCCCCCCUCGGUGUUUCACAGCUAGGGGGAAUAUUACGGAUGCUCAACUUGCUGUCUUUAAAUGUCUUUAAAGGAUAAGCUGCAGAAAUGCAGACGGCACGUACCAGCGUCUGCACGAUGGCAUGAUUGGUGGCGUUCAUGUGUGCGUUGAGUGGGAAUGAGCAUUCCCCGUCACAGUAAAAGGCAGCAUAACCCUCGGGUGCAAUGAUCCAGUCCUUCGGGAGAAAACACAGGUGACAUCUUUUCCAUUGCUGUCCCUCAAACCGGUGACUUUGCCAUGCACCAGAGCCCUACUAUGGCUCCCACAUGGUACUGCAGUAACAUCAUUGUGCAGUAUUACAGGAGCACAUACCGGAAUCCAGUGUGCAGUAUUACAGGAGGACAUACCGGAAUCCAGUGUGCAGUAUUACAGGAGCACGUACCGGAAUCCAGUGUGCAGUAUUACAGGAGCACGUACCGGAAUCCAGUGUGCAGUAUUACAGGAGCACGUACUGGAAUCCAGUGUGCAGUAUUACAGGAGCGCGUGACGGAAUCCAGUGUGCAGUAUUACAGGAGCACAUAUCGUAAUCCAUCGUGCAAUAUUACAGGAGCACAUACCGGAAUCCAGUGUGCAGUAUUACAGGAGCAUGUACCAAAAUCCAGUAUGCAGUAUUACAGGAGCAUGUACCAAAAUCCAUCCAUCCAUCCAUCCAUUUUCCAAACCGCUUAUCCUAUUGGGUCGCGGGGGGUCCGGAGCCUAUCCCGGAAGCAAUGGGCACGAGGCAGGGAACAACCCAGGAUGGGGGGCCAGCCCAUCGCAGGGCACACUCACACACCAUUUACUCACACAUGCACACCCAUGGGCAAUUUAGCGACUCCAAUUAGCCUCAGCAUGUUUUUGGACUGCGGGGGGAAACCGGAGUACCCGGAGGAAACCCCACGACGACAUGGGGAGAACAUGCAAACUCCACACACAUGUGACCCAGGCGGAGACUCGAACCCGGGUCCCAGAGGUGUGAGGCGACAGUGCUAACCACUGCACCACCAUGCCACCCCCUGUACCAAAAUCCAGUAUGCAGUAUUACAAUAGCACGUACCGGAAUCCAGUGUGCAGUAUUGCAGGAAGACAUACCAGAAUCCAGUGUGCAGUAUUACAGGAGCAUGUACCAAAAUCCAGUAUGCAGUAUUACAGGAGGGCAUACCGGAAUCCAGUGUGCAGUAUUACAGGAGCACAUACCGGAAUCCAGUGUGCAGUAUUACAGGAGCACAUACUGGAAUCCAGUGUGCAGUAUUACAGGAGGACAUACCGGAAUCCACUGUGCAGUAUUACAGGAGCAUGUACCGGAAUCCACUGUGCAGUAUUGCAGGAGGACAUACCGGAAUCCAGUGUGCAGUAUUACAGAAGCAUGUACCAAAAUCCAGUAUGCAGUAUUACAGAAGCACAUACCAGAAUCCAGUGUGCAGUAUUACAAGAGCAUGUACCAGAAUCCAGUGUGCAGUAUUACAGGAGCAAGUACCGUAAUCCAGUGUGCAGUAUUACAGGAGCAGGUACCGUAAUCCAGUGUGCAGUACUACAGGAGCAUGUACUGGAAUCCCAUAGCAUUCCUAUAAUCUGUACUCUGCCUCACCUGCCA